CCCCAGACUCCUACGGGAGGCAGCAGUGGGGAAUAUUGCACAAUGGGGGAAACCCUGAUGCAGCGACGCCGCGUGAGUGAAGAAGUAUUUCGGUAUGUAAAGCUCUAUCAGCAGGGAAGAAAAUGACGGUACCUGACUAAGAAGCCCCGGCUAACUACGUGCCAGCAGCCGCGGUAAUACGUAGGGGGCAAGCGUUAUCCGGAUUUACUGGGUGUAAAGGGAGCGUAGACGGCAUGGCAAGUCAGAUGUGAAAGCCCGGGGCUCAACCCCGGGACUGCAUUUGAAACUGUCAGGCUAGAGUGUCGGAGAGGCAAGUGGAAUUCCUAGUGUAGCGGUGAAAUGCGUAGAUAUUAGGAGGAACACCAGUGGCGAAGGCGGCUUGCUGGACGAUGACUGACGUUGAGGCUCGAAAGCGUGGGGAGCAAACAGGAUUAGAUACCCCAGUAG
rnacentral:rRNA from 1 species